UCUUAUCAAGAGUGGUGGAGGGACCUGCCCUGUGAAGCCCGACAACCUGCGCGCCGGAUUGCUUGCGCAAGGUGUUAAAUCAGCGACCGUGAUCGGCAGAUGAG
rnacentral:ncRNA from 2 species